rnacentral:rRNA from 1 species
AUUGAACGCUGGCGGAAUGCUUUACACAUGCAAGUCGAACGGCAGCACGGGGGCAACCCUGGUGGCGAGUGGCGAACGGGUGAGUAAUACAUCGGAACGUGCCCAGUCGUGGGGGAUAACGUAGCGAAAGUUACGCUAAUACCGCAUACGAUCUACGGAUGAAAGCGGGGGACCGUAAGGCCUCGCGCGAGUGGAGCGGCCGAUGUCAGAUUAGGUAGUUGGUGGGGUAAAGGCCCACCAAGCCGACGAUCUGUAGCUGGUCUGAGCGGACGACCAGCCACACUGGGACUGAGACACGGCCCAGACUCCUACGGGAGGCAGCAGUGGGGAAUGUUGGACAAUGGGCGCAAGCCUGAUUCAGCCAUUCCGCGUGCAGGACGAAGGCCUUCGGGUUGUAAACUGCUUUUGUACGGAACGAAAAGGCUCUGGUUAAUACCUGGGGCUCAUGACGGUACCGUAAGAAUAAGCACCGGCUAACUACGUGCCAGCAGCCGCGGUAA